rnacentral:rRNA from 1 species
GACGAACGCUGGCGGCGUGCUUAACACAUGCAAGUCGAACGGAAAGGCCCUGCUUUUGUGGGGUGCUCGAGUGGCGAACGGGUGAGUAACACGUGAGUAACCUGCCCUUGACUUUGUGAUAACUUCAGGAAACUGGGGCUAAUACCGGAUAGGAGCUCCUGCUGCAUGGUGGGGGUUGGAAAGUUUCGGCGGUUGGGGCUGGACUCGCGGCUUAUCAGCUUGUUGGUGGGGUAGUGGCUUACCAAGGCUUUGACGGGUAGCCGGCCUGAGAGGGGUACCGGCCACAUUGGGACUGAGAUACGGCCCAGACUCCUACGGGAGGCAGCAGUGGGGAAUAUUGCACAAUGGGCGGAAGCCUGAUGCAGCAACGCCGCGUGCGGGAUGACGGCCUUCGGGUUGUAAACCGCUUUCGCCUGUGACGAAGCGUGAGUGACGGUAAUGGGUAAAGAAGCACCGGCUAACUACGUG